ensembl:lncRNA
GGGAACGAAAGACUCUCAAGCAUUUUACAGUCGGGAAGACAAUAUGCAAACAACCAUAUAUACCCACAAGAAAUACACAGACUAACCUGGGAGGGCAUUGUACAGGGAAGGUACUAAUUAGCACUGGGGUCAACUGGAAAAUGUUUUUUUUUUUUCCUCCAAAGAUCUUUAUUUUCAAAACACAUAUGCAUAGAUAGUUUUCAACAUUCACCCUUGCAAAACUUUGUGUCCAAAUUUUUUCUCACCCUCUCUCACUCCUUCCCCUAGGCAGCAAGUAAUCCAAUAUAUAUUACAUAUACAAUCCUUCCAAACAUAUUUCCACAUUUAUCAUGGUGCACAAGAAAAAUCAGAUCAAAAAGGAAAAAAAAAAUUAAGCAAACGAAAUAUAGGCAAACAAGAAAACAAAAGUGAAACUUCAGUCCUCUCUCUGGCAGACGGCUCUCUUCACCAUAAGACCGCUGGAACUGGCCUGAAUCACCUCGUUGUUGCAAAGAGCUCCUAGGAAACGUUUCUUGCAGAAGGUGAAGAGUUUAGCUGGGAUUUGAGGAAAGCUAGAUAAGCCAGGAGGUGGAGAAGGAGAGUGAGCACUCCAACUGUGGAGGACACGGCUAGUAUGUUAGUACAGGUUAGCACCUCUAACUUCAGUAAAUUCUUAGAGGAAGGAUGAGAUUUAGUCCUAGGAAGGUGCUCCGAUCGCCUUAGUUUAUAGAUGGAGAAGCGCACUCAGUUCUGAACGCCUUAAGCCUGGGGUGCGAUGGAAAGAGCAGGAGUCUCGAGAAUCUGGUGGGAUGGAUUCCUGUCCUUGACUCCGUCACUAACUAAAGAGCAAUGUCAUCUUGGGCUGAUCGAUUAACUUCGGGGCUUUUUUCUUCCUGGUUUCAAUGCAACAACCCCUUUGAGGAGGAGUUGCCCCACGGAGGACCGGGCGACAAAGUUACUAGCUAGCUUUAUCUCGCGAUUCAAAGGUUAGACUUUUUCUUAAAGACCCCAUCCCUCUGGCUCUCAUCCCAGACCCAGUUAUGAUCAUCCAUCUAUCGCACACUCUGGGGGAGGAGGGAGCUCUUUAUUUGUAGGAAAGUUAUAGAACAAAAACUACUAGCUUUCGAGUCUCAGCUAAAACAUCCCCCACAAGACUCUCAGUCCCGCUAAAUCCUACUGCCUUUCCUCCAUGGGGUUUCAUUGAUGCUGCACACAGCUUGUUGGUGCACAGUUGUUCACUGGUUGGCUCCCCCACUACCGUUAAGGCAGUCUGUUCGUUCUCCCUGCUACACAGUAGGUACUUAAUAAACGCUAGCGAAUUGGCUGUUCGUACUCGAUUUCUAACUUUUUAAACCCCCCACUACACAGCGAGUUCCUCGGGGGCUAAGGUCUAUCUUUUCUCUUCCUUUGCAUCGCCAGCCUUUGAUGGAACACCCGGCACACAGUCGGUGCUUAAUAAAUGCUUGCUGACUGACUACUGAAACGUAUGGUGCUGAAUAAAGAGCUGGCAUGGAAAAACAACCACAAAAGUCUCCUCUCCUAACUCAGGAGUUGCAGAGCAAAGGACCUGAGACGGUCACAGAAAGGUACUCAAACUCUCCACACUUCCCCAAUUUCCCUCUCUCUUUCCCCCGCUCUCCUCCCGGCUGGGUAUUCCGCUCUCUGGUUCUGAUUGGCCGGCGAUGAUUUCAUUGUCAAGGAACAUCCGGGUCUCCUCUCCUCUCCCCACCCCCACCACCGUAGGUUAUCCUGUCCUCCGCGCUUCCGACCCGUCCCGCGACCGCCCCACCCCGUAGGACGAAGCAAAACAACCGCCUUUCCCUUGAUCUCUUCUCCGUCCCGUUCGCCUCCUCCCGACUCGCCUCCCACGCCCCAGAGGGGCGUCUUUGUCCUCCAAUAAGGAACGAGGAAGACUUUCUUCACCAAUCAGAAUUCAACGCUUGCAAUUCGGGGCGGUGUUGGGCCUCUGAAGCCCAAACCUGGGUGGUCUGUUGGUUCCUUCUUGGAGCUUCCUUGUACGCAGGGUUUAGAGGUCGGGAACAGCAGGGAAACCUCUUCAUAGGGACGCACCGGAGGUAGAUAGGGACUCUGCCUUUGAUUGAUAGGGGAGUCCUGCCAAUCGCGUUUCCGAGAUCUCCCCGCCUUUUGCGCUCCCAUUUAAAAAAAAGCCGGUGUGACGGACUUGGAAAUUGGCAUAGUGAUG